rnacentral:rRNA from 1 species
ACCAGACUCCUACGGGAGGCAGCAGUGAGGAAUAUUGGUCAAUGGCCGCAGGGCUGAACCAGCCAAGUCGCGUGAGGGAUGACGGCCCUAUGGGUUGUAAACCUCUUUUGUCAGGGAGCAACGCCGGCUACGUGUAGCCGGACUGAGAGUACCUGAAGAAAAAGCAUCGGCUAACUACGUGCCAGCAGCCGCGGUAAUACGUAGGGGCGAGCGUUAUCCGGAUUUACUGGGUGUAAAGGGAGCGUAGACGGUUCUGCAAGUCUGAAGUGAAAGCCCGUGGCUUAACCGCGGAACGGCUUUGGAAACUGUGGAACUGGAGUGCUGGAGAGGCAAGCGGAAUUCCUAGUGUAGCGGUGAAAUGCGUAGAUAUUAGGAGGAACACCAGUGGCGAAGGCGGCUUGCUGGACAGUAACUGACGUUGAGGCUCGAAAGCGUGGGGAGCAAACAGGAUUAGAUACCCCGGUACC